UACGUAGGUGGCGAGCGUUGUCCGGAUUUACUGGGCGUAAAGGGAGCGUAGGAGGACUUUUAAGUGAGAUGUGAAAUACCCGGGCUCAACUUGGGUGCUGCAUUUCAAACUGGAAGUCUAGAGUGCAGGAGAGGAGAAUGGAAUUCCUAGUGUAGCGGUGAAAUGCGUAGAGAUUAGGAAGAACACCAGUGGCGAAGGCGAUUCUCUGGACUGUAACCGACGCUGAGGCUCGAAAGCGUGGGGAGCAAACAGGAUUAGAUACCCCUGUAGU
rnacentral:rRNA from 1 species